rnacentral:rRNA from 1 species
UCACAUAGCCCUACUGGACUGAAUGCAAUCAAUCUCAUCUGAUCUCAGAAGCUAAACUGUCCUGGGCUGGACUAGUACUUGGAGGCCACCUGGGAAUCCCAGCUGCUGUAGGCA